rnacentral:rRNA from 1 species
UACGUAGGGACCAAGCGUUGUCCGGAAUUACUGGGCGUAAAGAGCUUGUAGGUGGUUUGUCGCGUUGUUCGUGAAAUCUCACGGCUUAACUGUGAGCGUGCGGGCGAUACGGGCAGACUAGAGUACUGCAGGGGAGACUAGAAUUCCUGGUGUAGCGGUGGAAUGCGCAGAUAUCAGGAGGAACACCGGUGGCGAAGGCGGGUCUCUGGGCAGUAACUGACGCUGAGAAGCGAAAGCGUGGGGAGCGAACAGG